GACAGAGGGGGCAAGCGUUGCUCGGAAUUACUGGGCGUAAAGGGCGCGUAGGCGGGAUGGCAAGUCGGUCGUGAAAUCCCUCGGCUCAACCGAGGAACGUCGAUCGAUACUGCUGUUCUUGAGGAUUGCAGAGGAGACUGGAAUUCCCGGUGUAGCGGUGAAAUGUGUAGAGAUCGGGAGGAACACCGGUGGCGAAGGCGACUUCCUGGCCUGUUCUUGACGCUGAGGCGCGAAAGCUAGGGGAGCAAACGGG
rnacentral:rRNA from 1 species